GGAGAAGGUACGCUGCUGAUGGUGAUAGGACUUGCUCCUUGAGCUGUCGGCAGCCGCAGAAACCAGGCCGCUGCAACUGUUUAUUAAAAACAUAGCACUCUGCAAACACGAAAGUGGACGUAUAGGGUGUGAUGCCUGCCCGGUGCUGGAAGGUUAAUUGAUGGGGUUAGCGUAAGCGAAGCUCUUGAUCGAAGCCCCAGUAAACGGCGGCCGUAACUAUAACGGUCCUAAGGUAGCGAAAUUCCUUGUCGGGUAAGUUCCGACCUGCACGAAUGGCAUAAUGAUGGCGGCGCUGUCUCCAGCAGAGGCUCAGUGAAAUCGAAAUCGCUGUGAAGAUGCAGUGUACCCGCGGCUAGACGGAAAGACCCCGUGAACCUUUACUGCAGCUUGACACUGAACUUUGACCUUACUUGUGUAGGAUAGGUGGGAGGCUUUGAAGUAGGGACGCCAGUUCCUAUGGAGCCAUCCUUGAAAUACCACCCUGGUAAUGUUGAGGUUCUAACUCUGACCCAUAAUCUGGGUCGAGGACCGUGUCUGGUGGGUAGUUUGACUGGGGCGGUCUCCUCCUAAAGAGUAACGGAGGAGUACGAAGGUGCGCUCAGCGUGGUCGGAAAUCACGCGUAGAGUAUAAAGGCAAAAGCGCGCUUAACUGCGAGACCCACAAGUCGAGCAGGUACGAAAGUAGGUCUUAGUGAUCCGGUGGUUCUGUAUGGAAGGGCCAUCGCUCAACGGAUAAAAGGUACUCUGGGGAUAACAGGCUGAUACCGCCCAAGAGUUCAUAUCGACGGCGGUGUUUGGCACCUCGAUGUCGGCUCAUCUCAUCCUGGGGCUGAAGCAGGUCCCAAGGGUAUGGCUGUUCGCCAUUUAAAGAGGUACGCGAGCUGGGUUUAGAACGUCGUGAGACAGUUCGGUCCCUAUCUACCGUGGGCGCUGGAAAUUUGAGAGGAUCUGCUCCUAGUACGAGAGGACCAGAGUGGACGAACCUCUGGUGUACCGGUUGUGACGCCAGUCGCAUCGCCGGGUAGCUAUGUUCGGAAGGGAUAACCGCUGAAAGCAUCUAAGCGGGAAGCCUACCUCAAGAUAAGAUUUCCCGUGACUUUAUGUCACCUAAAGAGCCGUUCAAGACCAGGACGUUGAUAGGUUGGAUGUGGAAGCAUAGUGAUAUGUGAAGCUGACCAAUACUAAUUGCUCGUGAGGCUUGACUA
rnacentral:rRNA from 1 species